UACAGAGGUCUCAAGCGUUGUUCGGAUUCAUUGGGCGUAAAGGGUGUGUAGGUGGCGCCGUAAGUCGGGUGUGAAAUUUCGGAGCUUAACUCCGAAACUGCAUUCGAUACUGCGGUGCUUGAGGACUGGAGAGGAGACUGGAAUUCAUGGUGUAGCAGUGAAAUGCGUAGAUAUCGUAAGGAAGACCAGUGGCGAAGGCGGGUCUCUGGACAGUUCCUGACGCUGAGGCACGAAGGUCAGGGGGAGCAAAACGGGG
rnacentral:rRNA from 1 species